GCGGGAGUGCUGGAAUUGGCAGACAGGCAUGCUUGAGGGGCAUGUGUGUGUAUACGCGUGGGGGUUCAAGUCCCUUCUCCCGCACCA
rnacentral:tRNA from 1 species